rnacentral:lncRNA from 1 species
AUUUCUUCUGCUAGGGUUUGAUCUCAUUUCAUUACGCCACGCACCUUAUCUCCCAUGCUCCUUAGAAUAGCUACCAACUCAGAAGUGCUAAUAUUGAAACUGUAAUCACCAAUCCUUGCAUUUGUAUUAGCAUUACUGUCUCGCGCAUCUCGCCCUUUUACGAACUUGGAUGAUGAACCCACAUCUCUAUGCCUUGAUCUAGAAUCAUACCAUUCGUUUUCUUGUUUGGACCGUGAAUCCCGUCUAGCGGGUCCCAUGUAAGGUUCGUACCUAUUUUUACCGGACCUUUUUUUAGAUUUUGGUCGUCUUGAACUUGUUCUUUCAUCACCCCCUUGCCUGAGUGAUAGUGUUUUCUUCUACCUGCAGCUUCAUGUUGUACCUAUUGUACAUAUCAUUCCAUGUUGUAGCAGGGAAUUCUCGUAAGCUUUCCUUAAGUCUCCUCGUGGCUUCUGAGCUUUUUUCAUUUAAGUUACUUGCAAAUGCCAUGGCUGCCCAAUUAUCAGGUACUCGCGGUAGCAUCAUCCUUUCACGUUGAAAUCUAUCCACAAAUUCCCUGAGUAGCUCAGUAUCCCCUUGUUUUAUUUUAAAGAUGUCUUCCAUCUGCUUCUCAACUUUUUGAGCUCCCGAAUAUUCUUUGAUAAAUGAAUCUACAAGCUCAGUAAAAGAAUCAAUAGAGUUUUCAAGUAAGAGAGAAUACCAUGUUAGUGCUCCUUUCGUGAAUGUUUCGCCAAAUAUUUUGACCAACACUGAUUUAAUUUCUUGCUUGGUUAAAUCGUUGCCUUUCACGCCAGUUGUAAACGCGGUUACGUGAUCUCGUGGGUCGGUUAUUCCAUCAUAUUUUGGAAUAUCAGGCAUUUUAAACUUCUUAGGAAUCGGCAAAAGUGUUGCACUUGGCUUCCAGGGCUGUUGUGAAUAUUUAUCAAUAUCCACUCCUUUAAUCACGGGUGGAACGCCAGGUAUUUGUUCUAUGCGAUCAUUUUGCUCUUUCAGCUAUUUUUGCGAAGUUAGUACCAAACUUUGUAAAUCAGAAUUAUUUGGUGUACCUGACCUUCCAUCACGAGAUUCAUUGGGAGUUCCUCCGCUUCCUGAAUUAGCAAGUCCCGAGCGUGGGUUUUCUAUAGUCGCGCUAUUGUUUGGAGGAGGAGUUGGUGGCAUAGUUGGCAAUCCACUAACAAAAGCUUGAAGGGCGAUGUUGACGUGCUCUACGAUUAAUUGUUUUAAUACGUCCUGUUCGGCAAUCUGCUCGUCCCCUUGUUGAUCAUUCGUAUGUGAUGUUGAUCUUUGAGGCAUUCCCUCUCAGGACUGUCGAGGAGAUUCUAGAGGCGUUCCCUCCCUCCUAUUGGUUCAGUUGGUUGUUGUCGUUGGCAGUUGACAUGAUUGUUUGUCAGAAAAGUGAAUUUGGAAAGUGAAAAGAUUAUCAGAGUCCCGGCAACGGAACCAAUUUGUUUAACCAAAAAUAAGUCUUUUGGCCAAAAUCUAAUUUUAGAAGAAAACGAGUUACUGAUAAUCAAGUUUUACUUCACUUUCACAAUGAUAUCAAAGGAAAUUAAUAAGAAUAACUUAGGAAAUAAUUGAUGGACAAAUUGCAAAGUCAAGGUAGAGAAUUUCGAGAAAGUAAAAAAGUAAAGAGUAUAUUUCAAUAUUACUCUGAUAUGUCUCUACAAAUAGAAUUUUGUGUCCUUAUAUAGGAAUAUACAAUAGUAACAGUUUUACUCACAUGAUUUGGGUUGAUUAUGGGCAUUAAUGAUAUUGAUUGCCCGUUAUCUCGGAUAUAUAUAACUGGCAUAUUUAUUGCUAUAAAUGCCUCAUAUCUGUUCAGAUUCCCCUUCAUUAUUUACUUCCAGUUCAUGUACCUUCUUUUUAUUCUUUAUUCAUUUCGUCCUCAUUUAUUCUUUGCCAACUGUUAGGCCCGGUUCUUUUUUUUUUGUACCGUCUCGUGGAUAUUUCCUCCCAUGUCUUCUCUUCUUUAUCAAUUAAGAAAAUCAUUUGUCGCCAUAUCAUUGUUUCACGUACCAUGCCAUGUCAGCAUUCCAAUAUUCCACGUGUAAUGUUCUUUCACCGCCAAUACAUUAUUCACGUUAAGAUUCCCAUGAUUUUCUCCUGGACUCUUCACAUAUAAAAUUGGUCGGUGUCCACUGUCAAAUUCUUGGGGUAUCUCCACGCUGCCAAAGAAAACAUAUUAUCAACUUUUUAGAUUUUCUUGCAUAUACAUACACUAGGAUUGAUGUUCACAAUUUUUACACUUCAAUUUCUGUAUUCACGUCAAGCUGAACCUGUGGCAAAAGUAAGUUUACUAGAUGCUCUUAAUCUUAUGCUUUUUUAUGCGGGUUUUUUUCGACGUAUGUUUUCUUUCCAUUUGUUAAAAAGAAAAUUCUAAGUUUUUAAACAUAUUAAAUAUAACCUUUUAUGUUUUAAGGCUCAAGGGGUGCUUCAAUUCUUUCUUUGUGAAUUGUAUAUGGUUAUAAGGACGUGUAUUCAAUUAAGUACUAUUGCCAAAACUGAUAUUUAUGUCAAACAUAGUGUUUAGGACAUUCACAUAAUAUAUUUUAUUUAUUCUUCAUCAUAAAAGACUGAGCACCGACAAGACUAGAGGUCAUAAAUGAACUACUUAAGCAUUAACUCAAUUAAACAAAAGCAUGUAAUGUGAGUAUGUAAUGUGUUAAAUUUUUAAUCAUGCUCUCAAAUAAAUUUUAAACGCUAUAAAGGCAUGAUCAAGUGGAGAUCAGGAUAUCUAAUAUCAUUCUCAAUUUAUACAAGUUUGAAUAUAUUUCAAUUGUUCAAGGUAAAUUUAAUAUCCAAUAACCAAUGAGUUGUAUGACGAAAUAGUCUUUCGCAAUAUAAAUAGCUCUAGAAUAUGGAUGUUGGAUGAAAGAUAUCGUCAUAUAACUUAUAACUUUGCUAUUUUCUUCUUCUUUCUCUUGCAGUCAAGAUUCUUAUUAUAUUUGAGAAAGAUGAAAUCACACAUAUAUUGAUCUAUCGUUAAUUCUGUAAGUCCCUAUUCUAUCGCUUUUACUUUGUUGCAUUCCUCAGGUAACAUUAAUGUAGAUAAUAUACUUCUUACAAAUUGGGGCAAUACAUUUUUAUUAUAUUUGGAUCGUUUUAGAAAAAUAAAGGGACAAAGCAACACUAAAAUCUCUCAUUUUAAUAAAUAUAUUAAAUCCUUCUACGCCUUUUUCUUAUCUAAUUAAUUAUCAAAUUUUAAUUCAUUUUUCACCUCUUAUAAGUAUUUGUUUGUUGAAUUUAUGUUUAUAUUAUCUAAGUCCAAUGUAGUUAAAUGGGGGAGAGGAAGGAGAGUUCCUUGUCGUGAUAAACUUUAUGUGAAGAAAGUAUUAUCGUUAUAUGAGGAAGAUAUCAAGCUCUAAAUAUUUAUUAAAAUAUUAAAAAUAAAUCAUUUUGAAUAGUACAUGUGAUAUAUGGAUCUUUUUCUUAACUCUAUUUAUUUGAUUACCUAAUUUUCAUAACUAGACUAAAAAGACUCACUAUGCAAUUCAAUCUUUCAUAUCCACUUAUGCGAUUUGGACUCUGACACUUAGAUGUAUAAUUAAAUAUCACUUAUAGGUGUAUAUGAUGAAAUUAAAUUUUUUGUGCAUCACAUGUACAUUAAAAUAGAAAAGGAGAGACUUGAAUAUUUUAGAAAAGAACAAUCAAUCCUGAAAAGACAAUUAUGCCAAAGCACAAUUGAUAAUUCUAUGUGGUUAAAGAAUAUAGAGAAGAUAAAAGUUGAUCAAAGAAUGUUGCUUGUGAUAUUGUCUAUUCGAGCAAUCAAAUUUCAAAAGGGAGAUGUACCAAAAUUUAAUUGAUAGCGUGAUGACUAGAAAAUGAAGUUAGAGUUUGUCAAAGAGUAUGCCUUUUGACUUAUUCAUAAAAGAUCUAAAGGUUACGCGAGAAUGCUAGCUUGUCUAUUCAAAUUUGUAACAUAUAACUAAGUAAAUAUUUUUCGAACAUGCACUUACAAUUUUUAGUAUAUAUAUUUUGUAAUAAAUGAUCUGGAAUACACGUGCAACGCACGUGCAGCGGGACUAGUUUCUUAUUAACAGUGUAACAAGUGGCUAUUUGCACAUUUCACCCUCCUGUUUGGGUAGAAAUGGCGUGGGAUAGCCACUUUUUAAUGUGGUAUUUACUUUUUAUCCAACAUUUUUAAUAUUGAGCAAAAAUAGCCACUAGUCUAUUAAAAUUAAUACGAAAAUAUGAUUUUACCCUUUCUUCAUGAGUGAUGUGUAAAUAUUAACGACAUGAUGUCCUUAAAUUCAUGAGUGCUGUGUAAAUAUCAAGGACAAAAUUCUUAACUGUUUUGUGUAAAUAUCAAGGACAAAAAUGUCCUUGAUAUUUACACAGCACUCAUGAAGUUAAGAACAUGAUGUCUUAAAGUUUAACAACAGAAGGUUAAAAUAUAGAACACUUUGUCCUUAAUAUUUACACAACACUCAUGAAGUUAAGGACAUUAUGUCCUUAAUAUUUACACAACACUCGUGAAGUUAAGAACACUAUGUCCUUAACAUUUACACUGCACAUAUGAAGUUAAGGACAUGAUGUCCUAAAGUUUAAAAUAGAAGGUGCUAAUUCAGGACACUUUGUCCUUAAUAUUUACACAUCACUCGUGAAGUUAAGGACAUCAUGUGUAGCACAAGGGUAUUUUCGUCCGGGCGGUAAAAUUUUAUUAAAAUACUGGCUAAAGAGUAAAUAAAUUUUAAAGAGUGACUUAAGAGUAAAUACAACUUUAAUUAAUGGCUAAUUGUGCACUUCCCCAUGUUUGGGCUACUAGGCCUAAGGAUUUGGACUUUUAACUCUCUAAAUACCUUGGGCCUGGACCGUAUGGGUAGAAGCCAGCAAAAUGACCCGUUCCCUAGUCUACUUCCUGAAUUUCCCCCUUCUCCUCUCCGAUUCCACUAACCUAUUGAAUUACACAGAAGAAACCCGUUGAAAAUGUUGAGGCUUAAGAGAUUUAGCUCAGCUGUAUUUCUCAAUUCAAAAAACGUUUUUUCUAGAGAAGAGAAAUUAGUUUCUCCAAUCCAUUUAAGCAAUCCAUGCCGAUUGACCUCCAGUCGCUUCCUCGAUAUUUACCAGGUUAGUUCAAUAAAAAUAGAAAUGUAUUUUCUUUCUUAGUCGUCCAUUUCAUAUUUUUUUAUUUUUCAACUACUCUGCUAAUAUAUAAAAUAGUAAAUUAGUUAUUGUUUACAGUAUAAUGUUUUUCCUGAACUAAGUUGGUAUUGAAGAUUCAUUUGAUUACAGCUAGGAAACAAGGAUGCAAUUGAGAAAGAGCGUGCUCGGCUGUAAGUUUCUCGAUUUCAAUGUAUUGUACUUCCUCUGUGAUAACUUUGAAGAUAAGCCAAAUCGCCAUGAAAAUCUAACUAGGGCUCAUGAGAACAAAUGAGAGAGAAAGAGAGCUUCAGAUGUUUCUGUAUAUCCGAAUGGCCAAACUGUCCAAAUGUGUACAAACUAUACUAUAUAUACAUUGGGCCAAAAUGUCCUGAACCCGGAAAAUAUAAACCAAAACUUAACAAAACAAAAGCCUAUACAAUUAACUUAUACACAACUGGGCCUAUUUCUGCUGAGGCCCAGAUGCCAAAUAGCCUUCAAGUCCAACACCCCCCUUCAAGUUGGAGGGGGAAACCACCUGCAACUUGGAGAGAAACUGAUGAUGAAGCUGCCCAGUUAAUGGCUUGGUGAGGACAUCAGCCAAUUGUUUAAGAGUAGAGACAUGAGACAAACAAAUCAGUCUGUCACCCAACUUAGCCUGAAUAAAGUGACAAUCCACCUCUAUGUGCUUGGUACGCUCAUGAAAAACCGGAUUCUUGGCAAUGUGAAUAGCGGCCUGAUUAUCACAAAACACAGAGAUAGGAAGGGAAACAUGAACGUGCAAAUCAGAGAAAAUCCGGACUAGCCAAGUCAAUUCCGCCACAACUUUACUGAUAGCUCGGUAUUCAGCCUCAGUUGAAGAAAGGGACACAAUGGGCUGCUUUUUAGACUUCCAGCUAAUUAAACUAUCACCCAAAAAAUACAAAACCCAGCGACAGGGCGUCUGGUAUCAACACAAGCAGCCCAAUCACUAUCACUGUAGGCAGUCACUUUGAGAUCAGGAGAAUUGGAGUAGAAUAAGCCAACAUUAAAAGUACCCUUAAGAUACCUCAAAAUGUGUAAAGCAGCAGACAUAUGAGGAGACCGAGGACACUUUAAAAACUGGCUAAGAUGCUGGACUGCAAAGCAAAUAUCAGGUCGAGUGUGUAUGAGAAACAACAACUUACCAAUCAAAGACCUAUAAGUCUCAGGGUUGUCCAAAAUAUCACCAGAAUCAUCCGACAAUUUAUCAUGAAGUUCGAGAGGGCGCACCACAAAAGAAACAUCUGAACAAUAGUAUGCUGAUAACAAAUCAGAAACAAACUUUUUUUGAUUCAAAAGAACACCAGAGGUAAAAUAAGAAACCUCAAUGUCCAAAAAGUAGUGCAAAGUACCCAGAUCUUUGAUUCUGAACUAAGUAUCUAAAAAUUGUUUCAAAUCAAGAAUAUCAGUUGCAUUAUCCCCUGUUAGUAUUAUAUCAUCAACAUAAACGGCUAAUAUAGUCAAAGAACCAGGGGAACCCUUAAAAAAAAGAGAAUAAUCAUUUACAGAGGGAGAGAAACCCUCAGAACAUAAGGCUUGAGAUAACUUAGCAUACCACUGUCUUGAUGCCUGCCGAAGACCAUAAAGAGACUUCUGUAAUUUGCACACUAGAGGAGCAGAAGAAGAACAACCAGAAACCGAAAGACCAUGAGGUAAUUUCAUGUAGACUUCCUCAUCUAAAUCACCAUGGAGGAAAGCAUUAUUAACAUCUAAUUGAAACAAGGGCCAUUGUCUUUUAACAACAACUGCUAUUAAACAUUUUAUGGUGGACAACUUCACAACAGGGGAAAAAGUCUCAUUAAAAUCAACACCUUCCACUUGUGUAUCACCCCUAAUUACAAGUCUGACCUUAUACCUCUCUACACUACCAUCAGCCUUGUAUUUCACCUUAUAAACCCACUUUACAUCCAAUAGGUUUCUUGCCUUUAGGUAACUCUACAAUAUCCCAAGUGUGAUUAGCUUCUAAAGCCUCAAACUCUUUUCUCAUGGCAUCCUGCCAAGCUGGAAUAGAGGCUGCCUGAGAAUAGGUACUAGGUUCAAAUUCAGCAUGCGUAAGAAUAGAAGUGGAACAAGAAAGAGAUGAAGAUAAAGUACAUUGAUAGUCUUUCAAAUAUGCAGGAGGAUUAUGAUCCCUAGUAGACCUCCUCAGAGAUAAAGGGGAAGCAGACCGAGUAUGAGAACUAGCAGGAGAAAGCAAAGAAGAUGGAGUAGAAGAUGGCAUAGGAGAACUGACAGCAGGACUCAAGGAAGAAGAAGCAUGGGACUGAAUAGGAGAACUGGCAGGAGAAAGUGGAGAGGGACCAUGAAGAAAAACAGGAUCAGUAGCAGCAGGUGGAGGGGAAGAGGCAAAGGAAGGAUCAGAAAACAACACAGAAGAUGGAGAUGGAGAAGGAGAGGAAACAGGAACAUUAGGUGACUUGGAAAAAGGGAAAUAAUUUUCAUGGAAUACUACAUCCCUUGAAACAACACUUCUUAGUGGACAGGUUGUAUAACUUGUAUCCUUUCUUGGCAAAAGGAUAUCCAAGAAAAGCACAAGGAAUAGCCCUUGGUUUAAAUUUAUCUCUGUAAGGUAUAGGGACUGUGGCAUAACAUAAACAACCAAAAGAUCGCAAAUGAUAGUAAAUGGGCACCUUACCAUACAAUAUUUCAAAAGGGGAUUUAUUAUUUAAAAGUUUAGAGGGUAAUCGGUUAAUGAUAUAAGUGGCUGUUAACAAGCAAUCACCCCAAAAGUGCAUAGGUACUUUGGACUGGAACAUUAAUGCUCUAGAAGCUUCAAGAAGGGAUCUAUGUUUUCUUUCAACCACCCUAUUUUGUUGAGGGGUGUAGGGGCAACUUGUUUGAUGUAUGAUUCCAUGUUCUGAAAAAAAUAAUGAUGCAAAGGAACUAGACCCCAACUCUAGAGCAUUAUCACUUCUAAUUGUUUGAAUUGUAGUGUGAAAAUGAGUUUUGACCAUUGCAACAAAAGUUUUUAUUAAGGGAAAGGCAUUACUUUUGGAUCCCAUUAGGUGUGUCCAAGUGGCUCGUGUAUAAUCAUCGACAAUAGUAAGGAAGUAUCUAGCCCUAGAAUAAGUUGCAGUAUGGUAAGGACCCCAAGUAUCAAUGUGAAUGAGUUGAAAAGGUGAGUUGGUACUUAUAGUACUAUCUGGAAAAGGCAACCUAGUUUGCCUGGACAUAGGACAAACAUUACAAAUGAAAGAUUGUUUGGAUGACAAAGAAUCAGACAAACCAGAAAUGAGUUUCAUUCUAACAAAUGGAACAUGUACAAGCCUUUGAUGCCAAACCACAUCCAUUUUAUUCAUGUUAGUAGUACAGUAGUACUACAAUUAAAAGGAAUAUCACACACAUCAGGCAGAAUAGAACCAGAUUACAAGUAGAAGAAGGAACACAAGAUGAAACAACAUUAGUCAUGGGAGAAGCAGGAUGUACACAAGAUGAGACAACAUUAUUUGUGGAAUCUAAAUUGGAGAAAAGCUGAGAAUGAGAGGAAGGCCUUUUCCACAUAAGCUUGUACAGGCCACUAUCCAGUUUACCAAGAUCCAGAGGCUUCUUCAGAGAAGGGCCUUGUGGUAUAAGUAAACAAGAUUCAUGAGCGAAUAGAACAAAACAUUUGAAUUGUUGUAUAAUUCUAUGCACAGAGAUCAGAUUGUGUUGAAAAGAGGGAAUAUAGAGAACAUUGUGAAGAAUGAAAGAGGGAUUUAAAACAAAGGAACCAGUGCAGGUCACUUUUACUUUAUAGCCAUUAGGAAGUGAUACAAGAUAAGGCACACGUAAAGGAGUAAGGUUUGAUAGAAAAUCUUUAUUAGAUGUCAUAUGGUCGGUAGCACUAGAGUCAACUAUCCAAGUUAAAUCUAUUGAUUGAGAAAGCAUGCAAGAACUAGAACUAGAACCAUUCAGCAGAUCAUCAGUUAGUAGAGUACCAACAAAAUUGGCAGAAGCCAUCAGAUUAGACUGAGGAUUAGAAUCUGACAAGUGGGACUGUUGCAGUAUAGUCAUCAACUGAUUGUACUGCUGCAUACUCAGACCAGGAAUCACAGAACUUUGCUCAGGAGAACUAGAGACACCAGAAUGAGAAGAACCAGCAAUGUUAUAAUGCCCACUAUCAGAAGACUCAGGUUCAGCAGUAACAUUUGCUGCAGUUCUUCUACUCUUAAUUAAUUUGAAGUUAGAGGGAAAACCAUGAAGUUUAUAACAUUUGUCAAUCAAAUGUCCAGGUUUUUUGCAGUAUCUGCAGAAUAAAGAACCCUUGGUCUGAUCAACAUGCAUCUUCUGGUCAAAGGCUACCCUUUGGUUGUAUUGUUGUUUUGGUGGAGGAAGAAAAGGCUUAGCAAAGUGACUAGCAUUUGCAUUGAAGGAGGCUGACUCUGAAUUGAAUUGAGGAGUAGAAUUCACAUGUCUCUGACUCUCAUCUUGGAGUAAGAUAUUGUAAACAAUAUCAAGUGAAGGUAGUGGUUGCAUCAUAAGAAAAUUACCCCUAAUACUAACAUAAGUUUCAUUGAGCCCCAUUAAAAAUUGAUAUACCUUGUCUUCCUCUAACUCCUGUUGUAAACCAGAUUUAGCAGCACAAUUACACGAACUCACACGAUUCUUACGGAUGAAAGCCAGCUCAUCCCAUAACUUCUUUAAUUUGUUUAAGUAUGAUGCUAUGUCAAGAGACCCUUGACAAGUAGAGGCUAACUCUUUUUUAAUCUCAAAAACUUUGGUUAUAUUUACAGUUCCAUAUCGUUUUUCAAGUUGAUUCCAAAUGCUUUCGGCUGCUUCAGAGUAUUGAACACUCUCGGCAAUUUUAGGUGAUAGGGAGCUGGUUAACCAAGAUAUUACCAUAUUAUUACAUCUAUUCCAAAGUCGUAAUUCAGGAGCAUCAUCAGCAGGUUUAGAACAUGUUCCAUCUAUAAAAGCUAUCUUAUUUUUUGCUGACAAUGCCACUAUCAUAUUUCUCUUCCAACCCCCAAAGCCGAUUCCAGAAAAUGGAACUUGCACCAAACAAGUACCCGGAACAUCAAAAGGAUGUAUGAAUAAAGGACCAGAAGGAUCUGGAGUAUAUGUGGAGCUAGCAGUAGUAGAACUAGUUACAGUCAUAUUUGAUUCAAUUGAGAACAAAAAUUGUACAUGCAAUGAGGCAAUUGAGGGUUAAAAUCACUGAAACCAACAGAGAAAAGUUCACACCAACACUGUAUGAGAGGAUAGGGUAAGAUGUACCACACUUCUUCGCAACCGGAAGAAGACGGCCUUCAAGGUUAAAACAAACUUCAACUGACCUCCUAGAGCUCACAAACACAAAAAAUCCACUCGAAACCAUAUUAAUGUCAGAGCCCCGAGUUCGAUUUCCGACCAAAACCAAAUUCUCGUUCGUAACUCCUCAGAACAAAUUGAAAUCACCGGAAAAUAUCAAAAUAAACCAUCGCAGAACAGCAAAUCAUCGGAAACUACUGUAAAAUAUAGAGGCGACACAGAUCUGACGAAAUCGAAGAUGAAGAGAACUUGGACAAAACUUUGUGAGGGUAAUAUCGGAUGAAAGCAGAAGACCAGAUCUAUAAGAAUCUGUGCUCUGAUACCAUGAUAACUUUGAAGAUAAGCCAAAUCGCCAUGAAAAUCUAACUAGGGUUCAUGAGAACAAAAUGAGAGAGAAAGAGAGCUUCAGAUGUUUCUGUAUAUCCGAAUGGCCAAACUGUCCAAAUGUGUACAAACUAUACUAUAUAUACAUUGGGCCAAAAUGUCUUGAACCAGGAAAAUAUAAACCAAAACUUAACAAAACAAAAGCCUAUACAAUUAACUUAUACACAACUGGACCUAUUUCUGCUGAGGCCUAGAUGCCAAAUAGCCUUCAAGUCCAAUACUCCGUCCCAAUUUAUAUCACACUGUUUGAUUGGGGCACAUAGUUUAAAAAAGAAAGAAAGACUUUUGAAACUUGUGAUGUAGAACAUGUCAUAGAUACUUUUGCGGCUAUAAAUCAUCAAAAUUAAGGUUAAAAUGAGAAGUUCAAAGUUAAAUUAUUUCUAAAUAUAAAAAUAUGACAUUCUUUUUGCGACAAACUAAGAAGGAAAGUGUACGGGAUAGAGGGGGUACUAUUUAACUUAUGUUAAAUGGACUCUGAAAUUUACUUUAUGUAUAUAAUGUGAUUUAGGGCAGUAAAGAUGAGAUGAACCGGGGUUACUUUGCUGAUAUAAAUGAGUUGAAGCAACAUGGUGGUAAGGUAUAAUAUACGUUACUAUCUUAAUGUUGCUUUUUCAGGUUUUUUUUUUUUUUGACUUUUUGCUUAUGGAAAUUGCGGAACAUAGAUUGCAACUGCAAAUAAGAUAAUCAUUCCAGCAGUGGCAGCUGUGAAGUUUCCUGCGCUGGAAGUGAAUCACUCAGAUGGUUCGAGCCUUAAGCUUCCCAUCGCAUCCAUUGGAAAUGGCGUUGCGGUAAACAAAGCGGAAGCACCAAAGGCAUCAUUGUUGUGUCUUUCAUUUCGUGCAAGCUCACAGGUUAGAGUAACUUUAAUUGAUUGCUGGUUUUGGCUGAAGUUAAAAAGCAGUGUUUAUUUUAUCCCUUAGCCUGUCAUCCGGCUUACUAGUUUUCUUCACUUUUUGAGUUUCUUUGUCUAUGAAAUGACCUCUAUCGGCACAGGAAGAAGUCAUUAAUGUUAGCAAUAUUGUGUCUUAACUGAGGCAUUAUCUUGUACAGCUAGAAUGGCCAAAGCACUUUAACAUUCCUUAGAGCUCAGAACAUUAAUCAGUGUUUUGACAAUGCCAUGAUGAAUCAUUGUCAUUGGCUGCCUUACAUUUGUAGGUUGUGUGUCUGAGUUAACUGUGAACAUGACUUAAAGUUGAUUUUGUUAGUCUUAUCAACAUUACUGGUAUUACAGUAAUUUUCAGGUUCAUACCUCAUUGAGUGAAAUACAUUAUGAAAUAAGUACCUACGGUUGAAAAUUUCACAAUUUUACCAAAAUGUGUCAUUGGUAGGUUGCACCAUAAAAAAUUGACUACGCUGACUCGUUCAUGUCAUUAUUAUAGAACACAUGAAUAAAUUUCACUUAAUUGCUGUACAGUUAGAGUUCUGAGAAAUAGAAGUUUCUGAUGCAGCAUUUGUGGGGUAAAAGUAGUUAGAAACUAAGUAACUAACCCUCCCCAUGCAUUAUCUUAAGAUAAUGCAGGUUGAUUAAAUUUAUGAUGUACAAACAUCAAUUAUUGCAGUAUAUCUUCCCUUUUCUCAUAAUCUCAUUAUAUGGCUGAAGUUUUGACUACUUCUGGCAGGCGAUGGUAGAUUCUUGGAGUAAACCAUUUCUGGAUACAUUCAAAGAUUCCAAUAGAGUUCAGCUGUACGAGGUAUUACAGCACUUCGUCUUAGAUGAACAAAUAGCAUAUCUUCAUGCAUGUAUCUUACAUAUUGGAGCCUGUUUUAGGUCUUUAUACAAUUGUAGAUAAGCACAAAAGUGUAGAAUUCCACACCGUAUCCUGAAGACUCAAAUUUCUGGUGGCCGUUGCACCUUCCUCUUAUUUAAAAUGUCUCUCAUACCAUAGCCAACAUUGCUGAUGUAAAUGAGAUGAAGCAACAUUGUUUGGGGUUUGGCGACGAUUUUAAAAUGCAUAAGAUUUGAAUGUCAAAUAAAUAUUUUCCCUUGUUAUGAUUUUGGGAUGUUCUCAGAGUUCAUAGUAAUUGAGCUAAAGGACUCUUUAUUUCACGCUCGAUACUAUGAUUCUGUCAUGUUCUCAGAGUUCAUAGUAAUUGAGCUAAAGGACUCUUUAUUUCACGCUCGAUACUAUGAUUCUGUCAUGUGAUAGUGACAUUCUCAAAAUUAUGGUACUGUCGUGAAGUAUAGUGACAUUAAAUGCAGGAACAUGUUUCUGACUGUUAUGCCUUCAAUGUUUUGGAAAUUAGAUAUAAAUUGUGAAUAUGAAUUGAUAAAGAAUAAUUGGAAUCUAGAGAGGCAAGUUUCAAGAGUAAGUAUUAGACAGAUAUUCUAUUGCUGAAGGAAGAGGUUUCUUGGAUGAUAUAAGGUUUUAAUAUUUCUGUAACAAACCUUUGGAUAUUCAUACUUCUUGAAUGAAAGAAGUGUUGGUUGGGAAUAAACUCUAUUAGUGCUGGUCUGUUAAAGACUAUACGCAUGUAAUUGUAUGCUAGACAUUUUUUACUAUCAUAAGUCAAAUGCAACAAUUCCUGUAUUUCUCAUUUUCAUAAUGUAGUAGAGGUUGAAUAUAUGAAUCUUCAAUUGUCUGCAGAUCUCCUUUAUAGAUUCAUGGUUGUUGACGCUCAGUCCUGUAAAGAAACUACUACUUCGGACUAUGAGGAAAUCUAACCCUGACGAAAGCAAGGAUGUACUGCAUAGACAAAUUGUUUAUUCAUUUGGAGACCAUUACUACUUUCGGAAAGAACUUAAAAUAUUGAAUCUUCUGACUGGGUAUGAAAAUGUUAACAUUACCUCUCAGUUUUCUUAUUGAUUAAGCAGAAGAAAUGAAUUCUAAAGUGUUCUCCAUUCUAUAUCAAAUUUACAGGUACACGUUUUUGCUUGACAAAUUUGGUAGAAUACGAUGGCAAGGUUCUGGAUUGGCAACAGAAGAAGAGUUGUCAUCGCUUCUAUCCUGUACUUCUCUACUGCUGGAUGAGGAAUAAAAGUAACAAAAAUUUUGCUAUACAUGUCCAAUUUCAAAUAUCAAAAGGCAUAUGGAGGGAUCUCCUUGUUAAGUAGAUUCAAGCUCCUAAAGUCUACAUAAAUGCUUCAUUUUUUGUACUUCUGUACCCAUUCUGGUUUUGGAGGUUCUGUAAUUUUCUCUAAAAUGAAUUUGAAUGACUUUUUGGUGUUCCUGGACAUUUUGUCUUGAACUGAAUUGCACAAAACAUAUAUGUGGUAGGCAUUUUCUUCAGGGUCAUGUUGAAAUCAUUCUAAAAUUUUCUCUUCCAUUUGCUUUAGCUGACCGACAACCUGGUUAGCUUAUUUAAGGGUUUGACUAUUAUAUGCUUGCUCCGUUUUAUCAUUUAUCAGACCACUAGUUCAGUGAACACGUGUGUGGUUAGCUGUAUUGCUAAAAGAUCGUGGUGUUUGGGUCAGUUUGCGGGCAUUUUGAUUAUUCAAGUGAGUAUUUGCUACCUCCAUUAAUAUAGAAUAUAAUUUAAUUCUCACACCAAGGUUUAGGAAAAUAAGAAGAAAUUACUUGGUAUUUUUGUGUUUGUUGGAUUUGAAUCCGAAUUUUCAUGUUUUGCAACUUGAUUCAUUGAUUUUUAGGUCAUACCCUUGGCGCAAAGCAUUUUUCUGCCAAACCACCCAUUGAUAAUCGUGUGUUCCUUCUAUUCGGAUCUUUCUAUUCACAGCAGCCACGAAUUUUCCUUUUUCUUUUUCUUUUUUUUUUGUUCCUUUUCCUUUCCCCUUCUUCCAAAUAAAUUACGUUUCAUAUAUAAUAAGAUCACGGCUUUACGUACUGCGAAUUUGUUUAGGCCAAUGCUUAUGUUUUUAUUAUGGAGCUAAACAUUGACCUUAAUAAUAUAAGACACUGGUUUCUGGUCUGGGAAGUUUCUAUGUAUAUCAAUUAUAUAUAUAUAAUUGAUGGUGUGAUUUCGUAUAUAUGGAACAAACUUAAAGGAAAGUGGGUAGAAGUCCACAAUGACUUUCCCAGAAUUUUCCAGUUGUCAUCAAGUUUCAUAACUAUGUCACUAACUUUUUCAGGAAUUUCAUUAAAUUUGUAAAGAUAGUUCUCUUCAACCACAUGGAGCUCCCAUCUAUCUUGUUCUUCUCGAUCUCUUACCUUAUUAGCUCUAUCUGUUGUUGCAUAGGAGCAGUAGCUUUAUUGAGUUCAACUGAUUCAGAUAUUUCAGAUCAUCCAUUGCAAUAAUCAUAAACUAUUGCAUCUCUCUCUCUGUUUUCACUUCAUCCACCUAUGCUUUUCUUUUUCGACCAGCUUUAGAAAAUCAGCAACCACAUACCCCAAUUCAAUACGGACUUUUUCCAGUAGGAAAGACCUUAAUCUCUAUUGUUUGUGCACAAAUCUUGAUAAUUUCAUUGCCAUCUUUUCUUCCUUUCUUCUGGAUCAUCCUAUCUUUUCUCCUGUUUGGAUAUCUUUACUAUCUUUUUGCUUACAGAAGGCCAAUUUCUCCUUCAAUUCGGAUGUAUUUGAACCAUAGCUACUGUUGGGGUUUGUUAAGUGUGGUUUUGGCUGAACUUGUACUGCCAAGUUUUCUGUGGAGUGUAUUCAUAUAUUUGUCCUACUUACUUGUGCCUGUAAGCUUUUCUCUUACCUAUAUAGCGUUUAAGGAUCGAUUUGGCAGGUGGGGUUCGUCGCCUUUUUUUAACUAUGUUUACCAGAAGAGGAAAAUGAUUGAAUUUGCAGUAGGAAUGGUGUGCAGUAUUCUCUUUCAGUACGUUUUCAGGGCGACUUCACUGGUGUCAAUGGUUGCUUUCUUUUGUAUUGCUGCGGCUUGGCUUGGUAGUCUUGCUAUGGUUCAACCUUCAACUGAUCUUGGAAUUUUCAAUUUCUUGCUUGUGAAUGCUUGCUUAAAUUGGGCUGUAAAUAUCUUUAAGGUCAAUGUAUAUACUUGGCUUGUUUUUGGUGCUUGUCUUUUCCUAUUCUUUCUACGUUGGAAGUUGGACUCAGUGUCGUUGAGAUAUAGCCAUAUUUUUGCUCCAAUACCUACUACAUCACCCUCCAUUUCAACUAUGCUAACCAACAUUUCAGUAUCUGCAAACUCCAACUCUCCCUCUUCUACUAGUGCUGACCCUACACCCUCUACUAUUGCCUCCUCAUUGCAGUUUACUCUUAACGACCUACAACUUCCUCUCGCGCCACUGACGUUACCGGCUCAUCCACCAGCUAGAUUUCAUUCUUUUUGAGCUUUCCAGAGUCAGUAGUGGUGGUCCGUGGUGAUGGUUGUGAGGUUUUGGUGGUUGGUGGUCGUAGUUGGUGGAAGAGACCGGUGGUAGUAGUUGUGUAGUGAUGGUUGUGCGGUGAUAACGAGAUGUGGCAGCUAUGAAAUGGCUGGCUGACAAGGAUAGUUGGGCAGUGGACCGAGACGGAUCCUUAGAAUGUAAAAUUAAUGGGUUCAACCCUUUUAAAUUUUUUAGCAUUAAACUCAUUGUAUGUUUAAAACUAUGUGUUCAAAACAUAAUAAAUUUUUGAGGUUUCUUGCUAUAUACUUAUGCUCCAUGUCAAAAGUACUGAAUUUACAUGAACCAUUAGUUUUUGAACUCUAUCCGCCACCAGGCCGGUGGAGGGAGUUAGUGGAGGCUGGCUGUGGAGGAGGGGAUUAGUACAAUGCAGAGUCCAGUAAUUAUCUGGUUUUCAUAAUAGAGGAGGGCUUGAGUCGAGGGCAGAUUUAGGGGGACGGAAGGGGUUCAUACUUUCGUCGGAAAAUCACACUGUUAUAUAAGGCAAAAUCAGAUUUGUGUCUCUAUAUAUUUUAUUUUGAAUCCUCUUGACACAGCCUAAAAAGCGUAGCCCAGUGGGUUCAGAACCUUUAUAAGGUUGAUAGUUCAAUUCUCAUUGGCCAUAAUUUCUUUAAAUUUUUUUAACUUUUUCCUUCUUUGAACUCCCUUAGCGAAAAUCCCGAUGGCUUGAAUAUAUGGAUCUUCAACCGUCUGCAGAUCUCUUUUGUAUGGUUGUUGACACUCAUCCUGUAAAGAAACUACUACUACUACUUAUUAUGAGGAAAUCUAAAAGCGAGGAUGUAAUGCACACAUAGGCGGAUUCAAGGUUUUAGGUUUAUGAGUCCCUACAAAAAUUUCGAGCUAAUAUACAAUACUAAAUGGAUGAACGGACUGAGUUUCAAGUUAAAUAUUUUUAUACAUUUAAUGAAUUUUUUAAAACCAAUACAGGUUUUAGACAAAAACUAUUGGGUUCAUGGGAACUCGCAGCUAUUUUGCUGAAUCUGCCCAUGACUGCACAGACAUAUUCUUUUUUAUUCAUUUGGAGACCAUUACUAUUUUGGAAGAGUUACCUUUUUUUAGGUCAAUUUUAGCAUGAUGUAUUAUGCACAUAUAACUUAAAUUCUUAAUAAAUAUGUAUAAAAAGUGAUAUUUAAUAUUUGUAUAGUAUAAUUUUUCAAAGAAAAUUGAUCAACUAGCCACCCUUUGGAUAUUACGUCGGCAUUUGGACUUUCCCCACGAAAGGAUGAAAUUACGUAGGCUUUUGGACUUUGCCAAAACGUUGAACGCUUGACCAAGUCAUAAAUGUGAAAGACAGCAAUUUUAGCCAAUAUUCAACUUGUUCUGGGUUUGGUUCAAUAUGGACUCAUAUCCAACUACCUAUGUUGGGAGCUUGGUGGGCUACAUUUUGUCAAUUUCAAAAGUAAUUUUCACUGUCC